CCUCUCUUUCACCAAAUUGGACUCGGACCCCUUGCCGUCAGUCAUCGUUACAAAAUAUAUAAAAAAUGCUGACAUCAGCAAUUCAAAAUUUUCUUAAAUACCAUUUUGCCCUUAAAAAUAGGGAACUCCCAAAGCCGUCGCCGAGUUUGGGAGAGCGAGAGAGAAGAGGGAAGAGAGGAGUCCCGCCGCCGCCUCUGCUCCAUAUCCACCACCGACAGAUCCGGCCUCAUCGAUCCAAAUACUGGCGAUGGAGAUCCGGCCACAACUACUGACCGCCAUGACCAAAGCCGUCGCCGAGUUUGGGAGAGCGAGAGAGAAGAGGGAAGAGAGUUGGAUGAGAAAAUACCGGCGAUGAAGUCCACCGUGUUACAAAAAUCUAAAGCUUUUCAACUAGCUAAGCUGUAUGGAUGAGAAAAUUCCUUCUGCCGACUAGAUUUACUGUCACUAAAAACGAUUACCCUCACUCACAUCUCCCACACAUAGAGACACACAAAGACAAACACCGUGUACUAAAUAUGCCAUCAAUUCAGUAAAAUUAAACGGAGGAGGAAAAUUCGAACCCUUAAAUCAAGAGAUCCAUACAAGAAAAAAUUAUAAUUUUCCAAACCGAAAAGACCGAAAGGCAGGAAAUCAAACCUCCGCCAUUGAAUUUGAUGGCGCUCUGCAACUCAACCACAGUUGACGAAUCGCCUUUCGCCAUCGCUUCCUCAAGCAGCUCGAGAGACUUAUUGUAGUUAGUUAUGUAGGUCUGAUGAUGCUUCUGGUGAUGCAAUUUCAUAAUCUCCGCACUAACAAGGGUUCAAGAGCACCGUAAUCGUAUGCAAGGUCAGGAAGAGUGAAGGUCUGCAACUCACGAGCAUGGCGAAACCCUAAGCUACAAGUAGAUGAGGACCCAUGAAAGACAAACUACCUUGGAAGCUACAUCAAUCACUGAAAAUUGAGAUAUUCAUCACAAAAAUAAAUUUCUGGAGAAGAAAUAAAGGUCCAAGAUCUAUAGAGGCAACCGGCGAUGGAGAUCCGGCGGAGAAGAUAAUCGAAGGUUGCGUUUUUU